GGGUAAUAGCUGUGGUGUUAGAUGCACCGAGCGUUACAGAUUAAAAACGGCAACAUGUGGUUUUCAAACUGGUGUGCCGGCUUUUCUCAGCACGUUGUGUACCGUCGCUGGCUGGUAUUCAUCAGGUGUGUGAAGGUUAUGAUGCCUAAAAACCGAAUGUGCAUUCAUAGCUUCCCUCUGAAUACGUGAAUCAGAGAGACACAGAUUUUUUGUUUGUUUGUUGUCUAUUUGCCGGGCCGGUCUGCUGUAAACGGAGGUGUCUUGGGGGGAGACAAUAAGGGGAGAGAGAUCGCACCCUGGGACAAGAUCCAGCUGCAGGGGCGGCGGGGGCCUUAUUUACAUACCCACAAUCCACUGGGGUGUUUGCAGGGCCUCGUGCCUCUGGAGAAUCUCCAACGCUGUCGCUCUCUCUCGCGUUGUCCUUUUUUUCCACUGCUCGCUUUUUUUUUUUUUUGCUGUUUAUUUCUCAGCGACACAAAUAAUCACAUUUGCUCAACACAACAUCUUCUCCAAAAAUAAUGUGCUCGGACAACCGGGACAAAAAUCAUUCCUCCAGCAGCAACACGCCGGGCUGCACGAUGAUGCAACACCGGUCUGUUGCAACUCUGAGACAAUCGGGCCUCGACAUGAUGAAACCCUCGAUCACUUCCUCUUCCUUCGGCGAGUGUAGCAUGCAGAUAAUAUGCGGUGGCCACAUCCUGCAACGACGGUCUUCUUAAUAUUUGAUAUUACAGGUUUGCCUUCUUCCACUCAAGCUUUUAGAUGUUUACAGUCUGGCGUGUGCGCCCACGCAGAAAUCACGUGCCCAAUGCUGCCCCCUGGUGUCUGAAGCGGCAAACGACACACAGAAAAAAAAGCCCCUUUUGAGUUCCCUCGUCAUUUAAUUCAACCUAUUUAGUAUGAAACACCCAUUUUUUCACUCGCCGCUGAUGUCACGGAUCGUUCACAUCUCAUUCUUUUGUUUUUGUGAGUGAGGCCGUUGGAUUCACUGAAGAACACCUUCUCCCCCUCUGACAAGUUGAUGCCAACGUAGAAAAUCUUCUCUUGGAAAGUUAUUCAUCUUGAGCUCUGACCGAGACUUUCAUCUUAAUUUGUGCAGCUUCUUUGGUUCCAUCGGUCAAGCGUUAGUAGGAAAUUGAUCUUUCUGUGCCACACAGAGCAAUUCUCAAUGACACAGUAUCAUUGCUGUUGACAAAACACUCUCCACCCGAGGAACACGCACCUCCAUCUGUCGAAGGUCAUGUGAUACGAUCAAAAGCACCAGGAGAGCCACUGAAUAGUUACGUCUGUGUUGCUGCAAAAGGACAUCCGAAUAAAAACGUCUCUUUGUGCGAUGAGAAUCCGGUGGACUCAUUAUUUGAAUAGAGGGAGGAGCUGGUUCCAAAGAUCAAAGAUCUGAUUCCCAAGGGAAAUGGAGUUUGUGUCCACCGGCCAAGUUUGAACUAAAGUCCCGUUGAUAUCUCGUUCAACUGUCGUGCAUGCGUGUGUGUGUGUGUGUGUGUGUGUGUGUGUGUGUGUGUGUGUGCGUGUGCGUGUGUGUCAAGCCAUUACCGCAAAGACAGUCGAGAACAAAAUAAGUCUGACAGAUAUCAAAGAAGGAGGGAAGAUGAUCUGUUUUUUCUGGUGGUGCCCCCCCCCCCUCUCCCCCGCCCGCCUUUUA
ensembl:lncRNA